rnacentral:rRNA from 1 species
UACAGAGGGGGCAAGCGUUGUUCGGAAUUACUGGGCGUAAAGGGCGCGUAGGCGGCCUGUUAAGUCGAACGUGAAAUCCCCGGGCUCAACCCGGGAACUGCGUCCGAUACUGGCAGGCUUGAAUUCGGGAGAGGGAUGUGGAAUUCCAGGUGUAGCGGUGAAAUGCGUAGAUAUCUGGAGGAACACCGGUGGCGAAGGCGACAUCCUGGACCGGUAUUGACGCUGAGACGCGAAAGCGUGGGGAGCGAACAGG